GGACAGAUGGCCGAGCUGGUUAUGGCGCCAGGUUAAGGUUAUACCUUAAUGCAUGUGAUCUUCUGAUCAUAUAUAUGUUUCCUGGUCACGAAAGUGGCGUGGGUUCGAGUCCCACUCUGUUCA
rnacentral:tRNA from 1 species